ACCUACGGGGGGCAGCAGUAGGGAAUUUUCGUCAAUGGGAGCAAGCCUGAACGAGCAAUGCCGCGUGAAAGAGGAAGGUCUUCGGAUCGUAAAGUUCUGUUGAAGGGGAAAAAGAGCGGAGAGAGGAAAUGGUCUCCGAUUGAUAUUACCCUUCGAGGAAGUCACGGCUAACUACGUGCCAGCAGCCGCGGUAAUACGUAGGUGGCGAGCGUUAUCCGGAAUGAUUGGGCGUAAAGGGUGCGUAGGCGGCCUGCUAAGUCUGGAGUGAAAGGUACCGGCUCAACCGGUACAGGGUCUGGGAACUG
rnacentral:rRNA from 1 species